CGUGCUUAACACAUGCAAGUCGAACGGUGAUGUCAGAGCUUGCUCUGGCGGAUCAGUGGCGAACGGGUGAGUAACACGUGAGUAACCUGCCCCCGACUCUGGGAUAACUGCUAGAAAUGGUAGCUAAUACCGGAUAUGACGACUGGCCGCAUGGUCUGGUCGUGGAAAGAAUUUCGGUUGGGGAUGGACUCGCGGCCUAUCAGGUUGUUGGUGAGGUAAUGGCUCACCAAGCCUACGACGGGUAGCCGGCCUGAGAGGGUGACCGGCCACACUGGGACUGAGACACGGCCCAGACUCCUACGGGAGGCAGCAGUGGGGAAUAUUGCACAAUGGGCGCAAGCCUGAUGCAGCAACGCCGCGUGAGGGAUGACGGCCUUCGGGUUGUAAACCUCUUUUAGUAGGGAAGAAGCGAAAGUGACGGUACCUGCAGAAAAAGCACCGGCUAACUACGUGCCAGCAGCCGCGGUAAUACGUAGGGUGCAAGCGUUGUCCGGAAUUAUUGGGCGUAAAGAGCUCGUAGGCGGUUUGUCGCGUCUGCUGUGAAAUCCCGAGGCUCAACCUCGGGUCUGCAGUGGGUACGGGCAGACUAGAGUGCGGUAGGGGAGAUUGGAAUUCCUGGUGUAGCGGUGGAAUGCGCAGAUAUCAGGAGGAACACCGAUGGCGAAGGCAGAUCUCUGGGCCGUAACUGACGCUGAGGAGCGAAAGCAUGGGGAGCGAACAGGAUUAGAUACCCUGGUAGUCCAUGCCGUAAACGUUGGGAACUAGAUGUG
rnacentral:rRNA from 1 species